GUCGGAGUGGCGGAACGGCAUACGCGCUAGCUUCAGGAGCUAGUGGUUGCAAAACCUUGCGGGUUCAAAUCCCGCCUCCGACA
rnacentral:tRNA from 1 species